rnacentral:rRNA from 1 species
GUAGGGAAGUGUGUGAGCCAUGAAUCAAGAAAAGCCGCUAUUGUUUUUAAGAUACCCGUACCGUAAACCGACACAGGUGGAUGAGGAGAGAAUCCUAAGGCCGGCGGAAGAAGCAUUGUUAAGGAACUCGGCAAAAUGACCCCGUAACUUCGGGAGAAGGGGUGCCAACGAGAGUUGGCCGCAGAGAAUAGGCUCAAGCAACUGUUUAGCAAAAACACAGGUCUAUGCAAAACCGUAAGGUGAGGUAUAUGGGCUGACGCCUGCCCGGUGCUGGAAGGUUAAGAGGAGAGGUUAGCGCAAGCGAAGCUUUGAAUUUAAGCCCCAGUAAACGGCGGCCGUAACUAUAACGGUCCUAAGGUAGCGAAAUUCCUUGUCGGGUAAGUUCCGACCCGCACGAAAGGCGUAAUGAUUUGAGCGCUGUCUCGACAAUGCAUCCGGUGAAAUUGAAUACCAGUGAAGAUGCUGGUUACCCGCGCCAGGACGGAAAGACCCCAUGGAGCUUUACUCCAGUUUGGUACUGGGGUCCGGCAGUGCAUGUACAGGAUAGGUGGGAGGCUGUGAACCUGGAACGCCAGUUUCAGGGGAGCCAUUGUUGGGAUACCACCCUUGUGCUGCUGGGCUUCUAACCAGCGGCCUUUAUCAGGCCGGGGGACAAUGCCAGACGGGGAGUUUGACUGGGGCGGUCGCCUCCGAAAGGGUAUCGGAGGCGCUCAAAGGUUCCCUCAGAAUGGUCGGAAACCAUUCGAAGAGUGCAAAGGCAGAAGGGAGCUUGACUGCGACACCGACGGGUGGAGCAGGUACGAAAGUAGGACUUAGUGAUCCGGUGGUAUUAAGUGGGAAUGCCAUCGCUCAACGGAUAAAAGCUACCCUGGGAUAACAGGCUUAUCACUCCCAAGAGUUCACAUCGACGGAGUGGUUUGGCACCUCGAUGUCGGCUCAUCGCAUCCUGGGGCUGUAGUAGGUCCCAAGGGUUGGGCUGUUCGCCCAUUAAAGCGGUACGCGAGCUGGGUUCAGAACGUCGUGAGACAGUUCGGUCCCUAUCCGGCGUGGGCGUAGGAUAUUUGAGAGGAGCUGUCCUUAGUACGAGAGGACCGGGAUGGACUGACCUCUGGUGUACCGGUUGAACCGCCAGGUUCACGGCCGGGUAGCCAAGUCGGGAAGGGAUAAACGCUGAAGGCAUCUAAGCGUGAAGCCCCCCUCAAGAUGAGAUAUCCCAUUCUUAAAGAAGUAAGACCCCUUGAAGACGACGAGGUAGAUAGGGCAGAGGUGGAAGUGCCGUAAGGCAUGGAGCUGACUGUUACUAAUCGGUCGAGGGCUUGUC